UGGGGCAUAGCUGGCAGUAGUGCCGACAUCGGCAAGAGAGAGAUGAGAGAUAUGCGUAAAAAAUAGCAAGAAAAGAGAGAGGCAUACAAGGAGGAACUGCUGGGGAUUCAUCGACAUCCUCUUCCUGCACAGAGAAAAACCCAUCUCGUUUAACCCACACAUUCCAUUUGAAGUUAAAAAAAAAAAAGAAAAGGAAAGAACCCAGUAGAGAGAGAGAGGAGACCCGUUAUCGGCGAUUGAAGUGUUCAAAGAGUAUAGAGAGGAGCCGACCGACGGGUGCUGGUGCUGCUUCUGUGUGUGCUUCCGCUUCUGCUGUGUGUGCCGACGGCAGCUGCAGCUGCAGCUGCAGCUGCUGCUGUGUGUGGCAAACGGUGCGCCGCUGCUGCUGUGUGUCCGAAGGGUGCUGAUUUUGCCCAGGAAAAAAAUAAACAAAGGAAGGUCUUCACACAUAUGAGAAGGAUGACAGAGAUGAGAGGGAUAACGAGAGAGAUUCACAGAGAUGAGAGGGAUGAGAGACAGUGUAUUUCGUUUCAUAUUGUGUUCGUUUUGAGCUUAUAGACACAGAUAGGGAGGACAGAGAGAAAAUAUCGCUUUUCGGGCCAAGUUGGAGCCACCACUUUCGAGCUACCAAGCAAUUUUGUAAAAAAUAAUAUUACUUGCAUUUACAAGUGAAUAAACAAAAUAAUUUUGGUAGUACUUAUAUACUUGCUUUUUGGAUUUUUUUAGUUAAUGCACUUAGGAAGAUAUUUAAAAAAGGGUUCGGUUGAAAAUUUCAAUUUUGAAUUUUAUUUAUGCAAAGCCGAGGCAUUAAUUUAUUAUGCCUACAAGAAUAAUGUCUUAUGAAAUAACCAAACCACUUCAAUAUAUAUAUAUAUAUUAUUUUCUAAAUCAAACCCAAAUCAAACCAUAAUCUCUCUCCCCUCUCCCUCUCCCUCUCCCUCUCCUCUCCAACAAUGGCUUCAAUCAACAUCGGAUCUCGACUCUCCCCUUCAUCUUCUUCAACCAACCGCCAUUGUUGAAGAAGAUUGCAGAUUUUUUAGACAAUGCAUAUAUAUAAUAUAUACAUGUGCAGCACUAGCACUGUAACAGAUUUUAUGGAUCAUGGAUCAUAUGAAUAUAUUAGUCUGUAUGUCUAUAUAUAUAUGUAGGUAUGUAUAUAUAUUUGCUGUUGAAGGAAGCAUUGAAAUGCUAUAUCCCCAAUUGUCAGUGAUUAUUAUGAAUUUAAUCACUUUAUAUUUGAUUUUAAUUGACAAUUGAUUGUAGUAGCAUUUAAUAAAUUGUUGAAAACUGUUUCUUGUAUGAUCACAUUGUAGUGGUAAUGCAGGUGAAAUUAGUUUAAGGGGGACACUAGAGCUAUAGCUAGAGCUACUGGAAACACACACAAAACAUAUGCUCUCUCACAAACUUUUUUGCAGUCAGCAACUUUGACCAAGUUAAGUUCAAAAACAUGUUUAUGGGUAGAGGGUAGACCAACGGAUCAGAUAAAAUAAUUUGGGAUAAAAAAUUAAACAGAUAAAAACAAUGGAUAAUGCUUGGGACCCCCUCACCCCUUUUGUCACGUGGCGGGUGGUGAUUGGAGGAGCAGGAAAAAAAAGAAAAAGAAAAAGAAAAAGAAAAAGUAACCAAUGAGAAAGAGAGGGGGUCAAAGAGGGUGGGGAGAAAAGGAGGGAUGAAUCAUUGUUGAAAAACAAUUUAUAAAUUAAAAAGGAAAAUGCCCCAGACCCCAGUGGGGGUGGGUGACCCCACCACCCCUACUAUUUUUUAAUUGGCUCAAUUUAUUUUUUUAUUUUUAUUUUUUUCAAGUCUUGCUCUCAUAGCAAGACAUGUGGAGGUGAGGGUGCUGGGGUCCCUAGCACCGUUGAAUAAAAAAUUUGAAUAGAUAGAUCAAAUCUUUAUUUUUUUUAGAAACUCAUAGAAUUUAAACAGAUAGAGAGAGAAAUUCAUAGAUUUUGAACAGAUAGGGAAAAAAUUGAACAGCUAGAUAUAAAUUUGAACGGAUAAUAAAAAAAAGUCAAUAGAUCAAUUAAGGAGUAAAAUCGAAAAUAAAAUGUUUUUCAAAACUAAUAAAAUGACUUCUCACCAAAUUAUUUUACAAAUGAGAUGUCUCUCCAACAAGAAUAUCCACGGAACCUAAUGCCUUAUAUCCUCUUUAAAUUGGAUUUAUCACCAAUUUACUCUUAAAAAAUUUAUUUUUUUGUGAUUAAAAUUUUUUGAUGUGACAUAUAGAUUUUUUUUAGAUAAUGAAAAAUAACUUCGUGAUUUUUUUACCCUCUUUAAUAAAAGUUUAUUUUAACAUGGUACUAAAUGCUCGCCAAUCACUUGAAUUAGCGAAGGAAAAAUCAAUUAAUAAUUAUUUAGUAAUUUUGGAGUAAUGUUCUACUUUAUUUAUGUAGUGACACUUGUCUUGUUAUCUCUUAAAAAUUAACAUAAGAGUGACGAAUCACUAUUUAAAUUAAUAAAAAAUCAAGUUGAUUCAGUAGUUGUUGUUUUAGGAGUAUUAAAUAAUUUUUUUUCCAGAAAAAUCGUUUAAUUGAAGCAGGUUGACUAUAAAUACAUUGACUACAAGAAUACAAAAAUUUAGUUACAAAUUAAUAAUUCCACAGGGCAAAGCCGAGUUGUACUUAGUUUACACGUAUAUGCAAAAACUAGAGCAGAGUUGUAAUUAGUUCACACAGAUAUGCAACAAUUAAAGCAGAGUUAUACCUAAAAUUUUUCUGUUCUUGUAGUGAAUCUAUAUAUAGUCGACAUGUUUCGAGAUUUUUAUAUUUAAAAAUUCCUAUCACAAUGUGUAGAGGGCUCGAAUUUUUUGAAUUAAGAAAGGUAAGUAAAUUAUUUAAAUUGGAUUUGAAAACUAAAAAAGUUUUAAAAUAUAUUCUUCAAGAAGAUUUGAAAUGAGUAGUAAUCGAGCCGAUUACAAGCGAGCUCAAAGUAAUUUUACUGAUUUAAUGAAUUUUAAAAUGAGUUUAAAUUUAACUUAUUUACAUAACAAAUGAAUUUCAAAUUUCAAAUCAACUUUUACAAACCUUAUCAUAAGUAGAGUUCGAAUAACUGUGAUUUGAAAAUAAGUCGAGGAAAAACAUUAACUGAAGUUUUGUCAAUUAUUUAUUUAUUUAUUUUCAUUUGUCACCAAAAAAUUUCCAUUUAAAUCGAAGAUCUAAAUACAUUUGGACAGGAGGAUUCUUAACCAACAUCUCUAAUGAUAUACUACACUUAAAAAAAAAAUAAAAAAAAUAAAAAUAAAUAUAGCAUUCAAACCUAGAAGGUACUGUUAAA